GUGCUCACUUCGGGAGCACAUAUACUAAAAUUGGAAUGAUACAGAGAAGAUUAGCAUGGCUUCUGUGCAAGGAUGACCCACAAAUUUGUGAAGCAGUCCAUAUUUUU
rnacentral:snRNA from 1 species